rnacentral:rRNA from 1 species
ACAUGCAAGUCGAGCGGAAACGAUCCUAGCUUGCUAGNAGGCGUCGAGCGGCGGACGGGUGAGUAACGCGUGAGAAUCUACCCAUGAGUGGGGGACAACCCGGGGAAACUCGGGCUAAUACCGCAUACGCCCUACGGGGUAAAGCAGGGGACCUUCGGGCCUUGCGCUGAUGGAUGAGCCUCGCGUCGGAUUAGCUUGUUGAGUGAGGUAAAGGCCUCACCAAGGCGACGAUCCGUAGCUGGUCUGAGAGGAUGAUCAGCCACACCGGGACUGAGACACGGCCCGGACUCCUACGGGAGGCAGCAGUGGGGAAUCUUGGACAAUGGGGGGCAACCCUGAUCCAGCCAUGCCGCGUGUGUGAAGAAGGCCUUCGGGUUGUAAAGCACUUUCAGCAGGGAGGAAGGCUUACCCCUAAUACGGGUGAGUACUUGACGUUACCUGCAGAAGAAGCACCGGCUAAUUUCGUGCCAGCAGCCGCGGUAAUACGAAAGGUGCAAGCGUUAAUCGGAAUUACUGGGCGUAAAGCGCGCGUAGGCGGUGUGUUAAGUCGGAUGUGAAAGCCCAGGGCUCAACCUUGGAAUUGCAUCCGAUACUGGCACGCUAGAGUGCAGUAGAGGGAGGUG